CUCCCCCGCCCAUAAAUCCCGGCGGAUCCGCGCCUGUCCCGCUUCCCCAUGACCCUGAUUUUUCUGCCCUUCCCAGGAUUUACCCAGCAGCUGUAAAUGUGCUCACACAACGUCCCUCUGCUUCCCCAGAAGAAGUGAACAAGACAAGUCCUGAGGGUGACCUUGCUCCGUGGCCAAAGUUCCUCUGGAAAGUGGCAGGGGCGUUUCCUGCAGGGUGUCCCAGCUGGCUGGGAGCGCAGGGCAGGAGGAGCCAGAAGCUCCUGAAGGCCAGCAGCCCCUCGUGUCUGUGGGAUCUGCAGCAGGAGCUGUGCCUGCACCGUGGCUCCUGGGCCAGGGGCUGCUCUGAGCAGGCACGUGGAAAUGCUCCAGCCCUCACAGAGCACCAAGAGCCCAGGAGGAGCCCAAGGAGCAGCUGGCAUUACCUGGGAAUGGAGGCACAGCCCGUUUGCACAGGGGCUCACGCAGCAAUUCCCGGUUCAGAGCUCCCACACAGCUGCAGAUACUGAAUCCCAGGCAGGAGCCCUCAGAGAUACCUGGAAAUCAGUGGGAUGGAAUUUGGAGUUUUUCAGGAUCCAGCUGCAAGUGCACAAGUGAAGGAAAGCUUUCACAGGUACCCUGGUGACACCACGUUGGUCCCUUUGCCUUUCUCCAGCCCGAGGCCGCUCCUCCGCUCGCUCUCUCCAGCCUCAUCCCACAGGGAUCCUCUUGUCCCUUCCCUGCUGGCUGCUGCCAAGGAAGG